GUGUGUGUGUGUGUGUCUAUAUAUACACACACACACCUUGUAUUGCGACAUGACCAUUUUGUCUGUGUUACAUUAAACAGAUGAUGAACUUAAGUUGGUUGGUUGUUCCUGUCAUUACAUACUUUAAUUUUGUGAAAAUAAUGUAAGUUUCGUGCAAUAAUGAAAUUUUGUGAUGUGCUUAUGGCACCUGUUUUAAGAAGCGAAAAGUAGCCUUGAAGGGUGGUAAAUGGAAAUAGAGAGAUGAUGAUCUGCGGGAACAUGAAUAGGAAAGAUUUAACUAAUUUUGAACAUAAGGUGAUAUCUUCCAAGAAAGAAUUAAGACAGCAGGUACCUGUUGGCUCUUUUCUGUACUAUGGUGUAAUAGAUUCUCCAAGUUGGGUAAUUUGGGGGAAGGGAGGAGGGAGGGGCAGAUGAGCCUAUAUUUCCCUGUAAUCAAUUUUUGUAAGUAAUAUCUACUAUUUGUAGUGCUAGUCUGCUUUGAAGAAUGAAAUUGAAGCAGCCAUAGCCUGAAAGGUUGAAUGUCCGUAUUGUGUAUAAGAAUUGAAGACAGAAAAGUACUUGGAAACACUCUCCUUGCAAGGUAUUGUGGCAGUUGUACAGGAGCACUGUUUUGCUUGAGUGCAUUCGAGUCAGUGCUGUUUGACUCCACAGAUGCCAAACAUUGCAGUAGACACACAUACUCAAGACAUUUGACAUCUAAACUCUUUAUAAAGUGUAAACAUAGUAAGAUACACUUUGUUGACACGAAUGGUGAAACCGUUAAAAGUUCUUGUGAAUAAUUUAUUACCGCCAUCUUCUACUAAAAUCUUCUUGCCAUCUAUUAAAAAAGACUCUCAAUAGGGGUGGAACCUUUGACAAAAGUUGAGAUGUAGGUAUUGUAGGAGGGACAUUUGUGGUGACCUUGACAUUUGCCAUGAUGACAGCUCACUCUCAGUUCUCUCUAUCCACAGAACAUGUCUAUGAUGGUCCAUUUGUGACUUGACUGUGUAACGAUGCAUUUUCAAACAAUGGAAAAUCCAGCAUAGACUGUAACAAUAUUAUGAAAAGGAAAGUUGCUUCUCACCAGAUAGUGGAGAUGCUGAGUUGCAGAUAAGCACAACAAAAAGACUGUCACAAAUAAAGCUUUCGGCCAGUGAGGCCUUCAUCAAAAAUAGGUGACCGACACACACACGUACACACAACUGCAGUCUCGGGCAACUUGAACCACACCACAAGACUGUUGUUUCAGUUAGCCGAAAUUGCAGUUGUGUGUGUCAUCUGUUUUUGAUGAAGGCUUCACUGGCUGAAAGCUGUAUUUGUGACAGUCUUUUUGUUGUGCCUAUCUGUGAGUCGGCAUCUCUGCUAUAUGUUGAGUAGCAACUUCCCUUUUCAUAAUACUGUAACAAUGCAAUUUAUUAACUCCAAGGAAUGUACACACACAAGCAUAAUGAGUUAAAGAACUCAUACAGAUACCUGAUCCCUUCUGGUGUUGUGCAAGUCGUCAUCGAACCCCUUACUGACAAGAAUUAGGCUCUUUCACUCACUUCAAAAUAAGAAAACAAUGAAAAAUGCACAAGCCAAAACGAAGUGGAGUAAAACACUCCCUGCCUAUAACUGCCACUUUAAAGUUUUUGUGCAACGCUUCGUGUUUUCAACCAGUAAUGUGUCACUGAAUGAGGUGACGCAAUGGUUCACACAUUGGACUCGCAUGUGGGAGGAUGAUAGUUAAAAUCCGCAUCUGGCCAUCCUGAUUUAGUUUUUUCGUGAGUUCCCGAAAUCAUUUCAGGUAAAUGCUGGGACGGUUCCUGUAGAAGGGCACGGGCAACUUCCUUCCCACCCUUCCCUAAUCUGAUGGCUUCCCCAUCCUUCCCCUCUUCUGAUGGGACCAAUGACCUCCUUGUUUGAUUCUCUUCCCCCGAACCUACUGGUAAAAUCUCAUUUUUGUCUCAGUAGAUGAAAUGGUUUUUUUACUGAGGGGUCAUGCAUUGUUGCUGGCUGAGUGCAGCUGAGUACGUGCUCCGCUUCCCUACUCCCAUCAUUACUACUGUUUCCCCCUUCCUACCCCUCUCCUCAGCUUGCAGUCAGUGCUGACACCACUUCUUGCCACUGCCGACGAGAGGCAGGGAGGCAUGAGAAGUGGUUUGUUAGGAUCUGAUCUGAUUUUCAGAGACUGUAGCCUAGCCGCAGCAGCCAUAGACGAUGAUCAUGUGUGCAUGAGUUGGGUCUGACUGAUUGUGCGAAUGUGUAUGUGCUCUCAUUUUCUGACAAAAGCAAUUGGUGAAAAUUUAGUUGUGAGAGUGUGAUUCCCUCUUCUAUGUGCCUGUCUUCAGCUCAGCAAUCAUCUUUACAGUGAGUUGUUACCUAUCCUCAUUAUUAUGGGCUCUCAGAAUAUUUGAAAAAGUUAUCUGUUGCAUGGAUUGAUGACCGUGGUCUCAUUUCAUCAACAUGUCUGUGGCACAUGAAUAGCUGGCCACACGAGUGGAUUUCCUUGACGGACCAAAACCACAGGCCGUUCCUGUGGGUAUCUGUAAUGGAUUGUGCCUGCCAAUCAGAAGCCAUUUGGUUCCCACUAAUGUGCAGACCCUGCCUGUCAGAUCUAGUCUCAUCAAUCUGCCCGAAGGCUGGGUCUGUUUAUGUCUAGCGUAAUGCAGCACAUUUUCAUGGUUUAUCCAUGGACCCAGGACUGCGGCGCCCCUCAGCAGGCCAGAGGCAGUGUGUUUCAGAAAUUGCAACUGCCUCACCGCAAGUACACGGACAGUGUGGCGUUUUAUAGACAUUUUAUUUGUUCUAGUAAACUUUGACACUUAAAAAGUAGUUCAUAUGUUCGAAGGUUUGCACGAUAAGAAGAAGAAAAUUGUGUCGGCUGCUGGCGGUUUGUAGUGGUUUAUACGCUGGGUACUCAUAUAUUUCCUGAAAUAAACACCACAAAAUACCUGUAAAUAAUAGAUGUAACACAGCGGCUAAACACUGACAAUAACGAACAUAAUAGAACUAACAUUUUAUUAGCAGUUACCUACAGUGUUGGUUUACACUGUUCUUCCCCGCCUUACACACUUCUUUCAAGAGGCCUACUUUUAUCUGAGGCUGUUUCUGAAAACAGUGAAGGUAUUUCAAAUCUGUCUUGCAACUCCAAGGAAAUGCGUAUUUUUGUCACCAGAUGUGUUUGGUUUUAUUGAAAUAAAAUAUCAUCAAUGGUCAUAAUGAAACAGAUGUGCCAUUUGGCUUGCUUUCUCCAUAUAAAAACAGUUAGUCACAAAAGAUGUUGAUGUUAAAACUGAAGAUUUUUGCUCACACCGUCUGCUUGCAAGCUUUUUACAGGGAUUAGCACUAUUGCUUCUUGUACUGUAGCUCCAAAGACAGAUGGUCAAUGUCUUAACUUACCUUUGAGAUUUCAAAAUUUGUCAGGGGGAAACUUGUAGCAACCUUGCUCAGGUUUUACAUGUGCAGUGGCUAUUAAAGCAAUCUGGCAGUAGUGCUCCCCAGUGCCAUGUGCAUGUACCAUGUAUUUGGUGAACAAGUGUUGUGUUAGUAGUGCUUUGAUUUCAUAAUUAGUUACUCUAAACACCUGUAUACAUUUAAAUGUUCAUUGUAUUUUAAAUGUAUCUACAGGAUACGUUUUUUGCAUUGUAGUUUCUUUCACUCUUCAUUAUCUGAUCUUUGGUGUUUUUUUAGAGCAAAACAUAUGUUCUGUACUCUUAUCUCAUUUUGUUGUUAUAUGUUUUCCCUUUAAUUCUCACUGCUAACAGCCCUUCCAAUGUUAUUUUGUUAGUCUACCUCUUUUAACUAAUUCCUGGUAAUAUAUCUCUCAUCAGCUUCAUAACAUUAACAUGUUUGGUAUAUGAUCCUCACUGCUGCUAGCUUCUUGUGUAUAAAAAUCUCUAAUUGAAAUUACUAAUGCUAAACUCCAGUAGUUACAUUGUCUGAAACAUCGUCCAAUUAAUGUGACUGAGAAGUGAAGGCAGUUGCAUUGGAUUUAUGAUCAGCCUAAUAUUAAUACACAGAUUAACUUACCUGUUAUACACGAAAUAAGAACUUAAUCUACAAUUUAUUUGCAGUUGCAUGUGUGUUACAAUAGUUGUCACAGUCUAUAAAGCUAAUUAAUGUAACACCUACUACACUAUUGCAUUAUAAUUACUCCCCAUCACUUCUGAUGGUAUGCUGCCUAUUCACUCAGUACUGCAGGUAUUGUCAAAGAUGAUAUGAACAUAAAUUAAGCUCAUUUGCAUUUACACACUUCCCUCAUCUGAUUUGGUACAUCACACAGAGAGUGUGUCUGAUCAGUUUACUACAUAUGAACCUUCCCCAGUGUUUGAUCAUAAAAAUUGAUAUGAUCUGCAUUGCUUCCCCUCCAUCUGAGUUACAGUGUGUUCUCCAGUGAGGCAUGGCGCCACAGAUGAAGUUUUGACGCUGCUGGCUGGUCAUAUCCUUUUUGUCAGCUGUUGGACAACUGUUUUUUUGAAGAACAGAACCUGAAAGUAAAGUGAACAUCGGUUUAUAAAUUUUGAAACGGUAUACCUUUCACUUGCGAACCGUGCUCAAAUAUGUUAGGGUUUGUGGUUUUUUUAACAUCACAAUAUCUGUGCAAUUUAAGCCUAUGUCUUUUGAGAAAAAUUGAUAGUUUAUGUGAAUCUCGGAUAAAGUUAAAUUCAAGUUAAUCACAGUAUUAAAUCCUUUCACUAUUGUAAUGAUUUAUUACUGAAAAAUAAUUGUUUUAGAUGAAAUAAUUUAUUAAAUGUAGAGUUUAUGCUAAUAUUGCUUUCAUAUCGGCAACCAAGGACUUUGUGCCAGAUAGUGAAAUACACUUCAGUGUCUGAAUUUUGUUAGAUGUGCUCGACACACUUAAUCAUCCCAAAGUGUCAUACUAAUAAAUCUAGUCUUCAUUUCCAUUGCUUACAUUAAACACAAUGUUUAAAAUUUGAAAUCUGAAGUGUACCUGAUAUUGGGAAGAAAGACUUGAAGAGAGUGUGGAUCUAAAUGUAGCUCAGCAGCUUUAAGGUUUGAUAAUUCAAAUAAAGUGGUGCCCCUUAAAAAACUUACUUAGAAUCUUCACUUAGGUCAUUGCAUGCGUCAUUAUCAGUUGUAUUGUUUAUCACAGGAGUCCUCUGUAUUGGAAAUCACAAACUCUUGGAAAACGUAAAGGGAGAUGAAAAAGUUUCCAUUUGAUGGCCGUAUAAUUCAGAAUCAGUAUGCUGAUAAUGCACAAAUCAAUGUGAACAUUGAGACAAUCAUCCCACUGAUGGGGCAAGAUUGAAGAUACCUGAUUGGUAAAACUUCUUGUCCUGCUGCAUCAAGAAGUUGAUAACUGCCUGUUGCACAUCCACGUCGACAGGAAGUGUCAACUGUUCAAGGCCUCUCUUAAGGGACUGAUGGCAUUAUGAUUGCGUGGAGAGAGAUCAGGUCUAUAGGACGAGCACUCGACCGAGCGAGGUGGCGCAGUGGUUAGCACACUGGACUCGCAUUCGGGAGGACGACGGUUCAAUCCCGUCUCCGGCCAUCCUGAUUUAGGUUUUCCGUGAUUUCCCUAAAUCGUUUCAGGCAAAUGCCAGGAUGGUUCCUUUGAAAGGGCACGGCCGAUUUCCUUACCAAUCCUUCCCUAACCCGAGCUUGCGCUCCGUCUCUAAUGACCUCAUUGUCGACGGGACGUUAAACACUAACCACCACCACUACGAGCACUCGAGAGUCUCCCUUUUCAGUUGGUGCAACUUCUACAUUAAUGACAUUUGAGAUAUGUGGAUGUGUGUCAUCAUCGAGCAGCAGCACCAGUUGUCACAGUUGGUUUUUACACAUUCUUCAUUCUGUGGUGGAUGUCUGCUGGUAUUUGUCAUUCACCAGCCAAUAAAACAAUUGGUUGCUUUUGAUAAUAACGUUACCAUAGUUCAAGUUUCCGCAUUUAGUACACGUCUGUCAGAAAGACAUGAAUGCCAUACUAAUCCUUUGGCUGCAUGUUGGUGCUUAUAUAUCCACAAUGGUGUUGUAUUAUGUUAUACAUACGUUGCAGCAAUGAUCUCGUAUGGAAACUUUUUGAUUGCUCUCUUAUAAUAAGUCAUCAUUAUUAUUGUGACCUAUGGAAUCUAUUAUACACAAUAUUUCACUGAAGUAAUGCUACUAUCGAAAACCGGAAGUUAGUGAUUCACUGUCAGGCAUCAAGUUCCAGGUAUGGUUAGUGUAAGUCAUUGUACUGUAUUUACUGGUGAUAGUUGUGUGUAAAAUAUGAAACUAAUUUGAAUAGUUGCUGUGAUUGAGUUUUAAGCACAGUAUCCUUCAACUUAUAAACGAAUAUUUUUGAAAAAGCAAUUUGUGAAUUCAUAGGAAGAUUUUGUGAUUUUUUUUUUUCCUACAGAUUAAAAGUAAUCAUUUUGAAGGCAGUAGAUUUUUUUUAUUUUAGGUGGCAGAUGCUUUACAUGUGUUAAAUGUUGCUUGCUUUGUGUGCUAGAGUUCUGGAAUUUGCUUGUAUUUGACUGAAGAGAGAAAGUGUACAGAAAAGUUGUGUGUGUAUUGGAGCAGACAUGAUUCAUCAUAAAUUCAUAUAUCAGUUGUGUGAAUGUUUAUUGUGGAUUUGCCUUAAAAUGAAUUCAUAAGUUGGAUUGUAUUAAUAUUAGCUUUCUAUGUGAAUUGAUGGCAAUGUUUAACAAGUUAGAGUAGUAAUAGGUACUUAUCAGCAGUUACGGAGUAUGUGUUGUGUUGUGUUUUUUGUAAUAUAAGAUUUUUUUCCUUUAUACUUCAAUAAGUAGUGACACAUUUUGACAGUAGAACGAUGUAAUUCUGAGGCUAAUUUGUAACUAUGACAAUUUGAUUUUUUGUUAACCCUCGAGUGGGUGCAAAGUGUACUUUUUACAUUUGAUGAAUAGCUACCUUCAUGUUGCUAAAUUAAAUAUGUCUGGGCAAAAUCAUAAAAUAAUCAUAGUUUCUCUAAACAGUUAUUAAAUAAACCAUUAUAUAAACUAAAUCAUGGCUUGAUUAAAAAAUAAUAAAAUAAAUUUUAAUUACAUCACUCUGCUGCCGCAUACAAGUGUUUAUUACCUCAUAGUAAUGACCCACUCGAAGCAUUAAAAAAUGCAGUUGCAUCAUAUUCAUGUCAACGUCUUGUUUGAUCACUAACAGUCUCUUAGAUAACUGGCUCAUUGUCGGAUUGUGCUGCUAGCUCAGAAUCUGGGUCAUUUUCUUGUGCGGAUCAUGCAUUUUUUUCCUCACCUAGCUCACUGUUUAUUUUGUAUUACUUCUGCUCACUUGGAUGUGUGAAAAUGCAACUAAUCAUUGUGUUCACGGAAGCAAUAAUGGAGUAGCUAUAGUCUCAAAACGUAAAGCAAUGGAAUGGUACAAGACAAUGUUACUUGCGAUGAGCACAUUUUGUACAGAGAUGCACCAACUUGAGGGUUAAUGACGUAGAAAAUGAUAUGUGGCAGAGAUGACGAGGGAGAGAUCUAAAAAAAAAAUUAGAAACCCAAAUGAAGAAGACAUGGUGAAGGAAAGGGAAAAUUAUCGUAAACAUUGGCAUCCAGUGAUGCAAUUUCAAAUUCUUUAAUAGGCAAUGAUGUGUCAUUGAUAAGAAGAUGGUCAGGGGUUAGAAAUGAUAGUAAACAUGCAAACGAACAAGUGUGGUGACCUACAAGAUAUAGUAAAAUGCUUUUGUGGCUAUUUGUUUAUACUUUAUAAAGAUUUGUAUACUAUCAAAAAGAAUACAGCAGGUGCAUUACUGUGAUAUUGGAAAGGGAUAUUUAAAUAUGCAACUGAAGUUUCAUAAGUUCAGCAUUAUGAUGUAAUACAAUAAAAAUAAGGCACUUGGACUUUGGGGGUAUCAAGAGCCUGACCAAAAUGCAAAAGAACUUGUGCAGCGAGGUUCAGGCUUUUCUGCGAAGUUCACCACAGAGGCUACUAAGAAAACAAAAUGCUGCAGAAAAUAAAACAAUAUUUUCUCCUAGGGAUUAUUGUCAAAUUUUUCCAAGCAACAGUGGGACUCUUCUGUUAUGAUGAAUGUGUAAUUGAUAUUUUAGGCUAUAGACCUUUCUGAAAUUCUAAGAUAGAAGUUUAUAUUCCACUGUUAGUGAUUGUCCCCAAGAUCUGACCAAAAGAUCUGUCAACUCGCUUGUUAUAAUUUUUUUUAUAUAUAUAUAAAUAGCUGUGUGAAUGUUGUUGAGACCACUCACAGGUGCAAAAGGACAAAUUAAUUGUUAAUAUAUCUUUCUGAGAAUGAUGUCCUUUGUGUGUCACACUUUUGUAAAAUUAUUUUGAAGUGUAAAAUAACCUACAGUAACAUUGUAUUCUAGUGUUGUGUUAAUCUCAGUAGAUCCUUUCUUCAGGAUGUCAACUCUGAUGUAUUUUUGUUAUAAAAUGUUCUUAUUAAGCAGCACAAGUAAUCCAGUUACAAACAAUAUGACCAGUUGAAUGAACAGAUAGGAUUUUUUUUUCUAUGUUGGUGAUGUCAUAUUCAUGGAAUACUUCAUUCAGAUCUUUCAUAAUGCCCUUUAUGUACACACAAUAGUGUCAUUUUGUCAAAGAUGGCAGAUAUGAGAUGUCACGUGCUGAAUCAGGUUACAGGAAGUUGUAAAAUUGAUGUGUGACUAUCUGUGUCCAGUGAUUGCAGCACUGUUUUUGUUGACCGACUUACAAGAACAUUCACCACACAUUCAAAAUAUCCUAAGUAGCAGAUGCUUUAAUUAGGUUUUUUGGAUUACAAGCAAACAUUUGGAUAAAAACAUUCCACUCAUUGCCACUGGAAUAAGAUCUGCUCAGUCAUGUCAUGCAAAAUGAGAAGCUGCUUUAAUAAGUAUGCAGCAAAUGUAAUACACAGUUGGAUCAUGCCCAAGACAGUCAUUUAUUUAUUUAUCCUUAGACAAUUGUUCUCUCUGUCACCAAAAUUAGUGUCCACCUUUUCGUGUGACUCUGGUGAAAUAUACCUGCUUCAUAGAGCCAUUAAUGAUCAUUAUCUAACAAGACAACUAGUGAGAAAGAUAGAAAGUUUAAUCGGAUGAAGUUUGAAAGUUGAUUUGAGCUACAGAUCUCACUCCUUUGUGUUCUGAUGCAGUGGAAGCUCAAGCUUUGUUUUUGAUUUAAUGGUGAUGUUAUAAAAUUUCUCACCUACAGCAGAAGUCAUCUGACUGACAUAUUCCUUGUAUUGGCCAACAUGAACUUAGAAAUUAGUUCUGUGCAAGACCUGUUCUGUAUUAUAAAUAGAAGAGGUAGAAUAGCAUGUGUGACCUCCUAUAUGUUUUUAUUGUAAUCUCCAGGAUUAUACAAAUAUCUUAAUAACUCCCUGCUAUUGAUGUAAAAUCAAAUCAUAUCUUUUUACUGAAGCCUUGACGUUCUACAUUGCUCGGGAAACAGUUACAGGAGUACGAUGUUCUUUGUACUGGUUUACUAUGUUCCUACCUCCCCCCCCCCUUUUUUAAGUUCUGUCAGAAAAGUCAUUUAGUUCAUGAAUUAUUGGUUUGUUCUCAAGCUUUUACUGCCCAACCUGUGUGCUAUUUUCAUUGGUUGGCAAGUAUGAUACGAUCUAUUGCACACAAUGUAGACAGUUGUAUUUACAUUUUAUAUACGCAUUUUUUUAUGUAUGUUAUCAUUGAAGGUACCUUUAUUUUUGUUAUUGUAUUCUGCUGUGUGUGUGUGUGUGUGUGUGUGUGUGUAGAGAGAGAGAGAGAGAGAGAGAUCAUAAACAUGUUAAGAAUAUUUGUGUAGUAUUUGAGUGUGGUUACUAGAACAGUUCAGUUUCUUAUGUAAAUGUCUAAGAUAUAUGGCCUUGAAACCGUGUACCCACUGUACCGAAAAUAGUGUCUCAGGAAUGUCAUUUGCCUCUGAAGAAAAUGUAGUACAAAUUGUGUAUUUGUGUUUGUCGAUUUUGUUGAGAGUACUCUGUUCAUUGUACGAUUGUGGUUGUAUUAAUGACCCCCAUGUACAGGUAGCAUAUUAAUAUGUCCUUAUUGAUUGUCAUAUUUCUAAUGAAAAUAUACUCUUAAUCAUAAGCUUAUUUUUUGUGAUGUGUCAUUCAUUCAUUCUUAAACUUGAUGAAGCUCUGUAGUUUCCUAGAGGCUUAUGUUAGAGGACAGGUUUCAUCUUUAUCAUAGUUCAUAAUGGAAAAUGAAUAGCAUGUGUUGGUAAAAUGUUCCACCUGCAAUGAUGUGAGAGACUGGAAAUGUUUGUGUCUUUAUGAUGCUACCUAUGCACUGCAAGCAGAAAUUGAAAAUUUAUUUUUCACCUAGAGAUUAUUUUUCUUCUGUGUGUAACAUACAUACUUUUUCAGUAUUUAUUUAUCAGGUAUUAUAUACAGUUAUAUAACAGAAAUACAGUAUCCGUCCUGUGUAAGGCAAAGCCUUACAUCAGUUAAUGUCAGUAGCAGUGCAAGGUUUGGGUACACAAUUUGUCAGAUGAUGAUGAUGAUGAUCAUUACAUGUUCAAAAUCAGUGCAGUAUUCUCAUAUUUCUUAUGCAAUUGCUGUUUUUAUAUUUGUAUUGUAAAGCAUAAUAACAAUUCUCAUUCAGAAUUUUUUUUUUUUACUGUUGUAGAAUAAAUGUAACAAAUAUAAUUAUGUGGAAUAGAUGA